rnacentral:lncRNA from 1 species
AUGUUGACGGUAGGAGCCUCCCAUGCAGUAGCAAAGCCCCACUGUGAGAUGACAAAGCCAGACCAUGAAGUCACAAGGCCAGGCAUUCAUGUGCAGUGUGGGGCAGGUGCCACAGGCAUCACUCCAGCAGCUGCAGGAGCAGCAGCAGUGUCAGCAGAGCCUGCACUGACAGUGCCAGCAGUGCCAGUGCCUGCAGUACCUGUAGUGCCUGCAGUGACAGUGAUGGUGACAACAGUGAGCAGUGACAGUGCCAGCAGUGGCAGUUCCAGCAGUACCAGCUGUGCCAGCAGCAGCAGUGACAGCAUGGUGCAGGCGCGGUGGGCCCUGGCCCUCAUCCUCCUCCUGGUGGCCCUGCCAGCCAGGGGUGUCGGGGCUGCUCCGUGGCGACCAUGGGCAGUGGCUCUGGAGCGUGAGCCUGUGGAUAAGAAGGCACCUCAGGAAGACCAUCAGGCAGUGCCAGUCCCCGGGGAAAACACCGGGGCCGUUCAGCCAACAGGAGUGUCAGGCGCCUCGCAGCUUCGAGAGCCGGCUCUGAGCGCCCCAACAGCCGGGCAGAAGCCAGCAGAAUAUUUGCAGGAGCGUUUAAAUAAAGAUCAGCAGCACAAUCGACUGGAUUGUACUGGCAGCAAACCCAG